UACGAAGGGGGCGAGCGUUGUUCGGAUUUACUGGGCGUAAAGCGCGUGUAGGCUGCUUCGCAAGUCGGGUGUGAAAGCCCUGGGCUCAACCUAGGAAGUGCACUCGAAACUGCGAAGCUUGAGUCCUGGAGAGGAAGGCGGAAUUCUCGGUGUAGAGGUGAAAUUCGUAGAUAUCGAGAGGAACACCGGUGGCGAAGGCGGCCUUCUGGACAGUGACUGACGCUGAGACGCGAAAGCGUGGGGAGCAAACAGG
rnacentral:rRNA from 1 species